AACUGUCACAAACUGCAGUAAAAACCCUGAUUGAGAUGCAGAUUCUGAAUGCGCUGCAUACAUGUCCAAAGAAGGCUUCUAAAACCUGAAUAAUACCGACAUAUCACACGUCUUAAUCAAAAUACUCUGAUAAAUGACUAAUUCAAAA